UCCCUGGUAGCUCAGAGGGUAAAGCAUCUGCCUGCAAUGCAGGAGACCCAGGUUCAAUCCCUGGCUUGGGAA
rnacentral:tRNA from 2 species